AUACGUUUUACACGGUUACAUUUGCAUAUACUGUAUAUUCCAUACUUUUUGAACCAUGGAUCUCUGACUUGCGCUACAGUUCUUUUCUCUCUCUUAGAGAUUACAGUAAAGUCGAACAUUGCAACAGCGCCCCCUUGUGAUAAUAGAUAAAGGAGUUGGCCUACCCUAGGAGAGAAUGAGAAAAAAAUAGAAUCACGUGGAAAACAAGCCUUAUCAUAUCCGGGGCUGGGCAAAUGGAAAGUUAAAGCGUGGGGAAGUCCCUGAGGAGAGGUUUUAGUUCUCUAAAUUCCUCUCCCACCUUUGUAUCCAUUCACAGAAAUGCCACAGCGCUUGUGAAACACAAGAUUCGUCAUUAGAUUGACAGUCUCAGUAUACUUAGGCAUCCUGGAGCUUCUGAGAAAUACAAACAAAUAUUCAUCAUUGAGCCACCAGGGGGCGGAAGAGGCACAGCGGUCUAGGACAUCACUCUCAAGCGGUCCAGACAAAGCCUGUGGACCACACUGUUUGAGUAUGUAUUUUUCUGUGUGCAGGUUUGUGGGACACAGUGUUAAGGAAUAAUACAGAAACAUUUUGAGCACAACAUGAUCAUUUCAGCGGUCUAAUUUGUGACAUUUGUGAGAUCAGGACUGUGUGUCCAGUAGGUGUGAUGAGUGGAAGUGUGUUCCAAAUUCCAGAUUCUGCCACAGAUGCUGCUGUACAAACAAACAUACACUUAAACUUCCAGAGUCAGUGCAUCAAGUCCAGCUAAGCCAACUUGAGUCAGCCUCACAGUCCCUCAAACACUGACGUGGCC
rnacentral:lncRNA from 1 species